rnacentral:lncRNA from 1 species
UUUGUGGACUCGAAGUUCUUCUGUUCUCUGGUAUUGGCGGAGCGAAGGUGUUACAUCCAUUGCCGAUCUAUCUACAUCGUAUUACGUGAAAAUUGGAUAUAGAGCUUCGUAUUAGAUAAAGAACUCGAUCAAUAUUAGGUAGGGGAAAGAUAGAGUAAAUAUGUUUAUAAUAUUUAGUCCUCAUUCUAAAAAACUCUCCAUUCUCCUCGUUCUAAAAAAUCAACAAGUACUCCAUUUGUAACAUAAAACUCAUUCAAAAAACUCUCCAUUCUCUUCGCUCUAAAAAACUCUCCAUUCUCCUCGUUCUAAAAGAUCAACAAGCUAGUACUCCAUUUGUAAAAAAAACUUGUUCUAAAAAACUCUCCAUUCACCUCACUCUAAAAAACUCUCAAUUCUCCUUAUUCUAAAAGAUCAACAAGUACCCCAUUUAUAACAUAAAACUCAUUCUAAAAAAUUUCCCAUUCUCCUCACUCUAAAAAACUCUCCAUUCUCCUCGUUCUAAAAGAUCAACAAGCUAGUACUCCAUUUGUAACAUAAAACUCAUUCUAAAAACUUCUCAUUCACCUCACUCUAAAAAACUCUCCAUUCUCCUCGUUCUAAAAGAUCAACAAGUACUCCAUUCGUAAUACAAAACUCAUUCUAAAAACCUCUCUAUUCUCC